rnacentral:rRNA from 1 species
UACGGAGGGUGCAAGCGUUACUCGGAAUUACUGGGCGUAAAGCGUGCGUAGGUGGUGAGUUAAGUCUGUCGUGAAAGCCCCGGGCUCAACCUGGGAAUGGCGAUGGAUACUGGCUCGCUAGAGUGCGGUAGAGGAGAGUGGAAUUCCCGGUGUAGCAGUGAAAUGCGUAGAGAUCGGGAGGAACAUCAGUUGCGAAGGCGGCUCUCUGGGCCGUAACUGACGCUGAGGAGCGAAAGCGUGGGGAGCGAACAGG